UGGGGAAUUUUGGACAAUGGGGGCAACCCUGAUCCAGCCAUGCCGCGUGAGUGAAGAAGGCCUUCGGGUUGUAAAGCUCUUUCGGCCGGAAAGAAAGCCUACCCAUGAAUAAGGGGUGGGGUUGACGGUACCGGCAAAAGAAGCACCGGCUAACUACGUGCCAGCAGCCGCGGUAAUACGUAGGGUGCGAGCGUUAAUCGGAAUUACUGGGCGUAAAGGGUGCGCAGGCGGUCUGCUAAGCUUGAUGUGAAAGCCCCGGGCUUAACCUGGGAACGGCAUUGAGGACUGGCAGACUAGAGUGUGGCAGAGGGGGGUGGAAUUCCACGUGUAGCAGUGAAAUGCGUAGAGAUGUGGAGGAACACCGAUGGCGAAGGCAGCCCCCUGGGCUAACACUGACGCUCAGGCACGAAAGCGUGGGGAGCAAACAG
rnacentral:rRNA from 1 species